UACGUAGGGUGCGAGCGUUGUCCGGAAUUAUUGGGCGUAAAGAGCUUGUAGGCGGUUCGUCGCGUCUGCCGUGAAAAUCCGGGGCUCAACCCCGAACUUGCAGUGGGUACGGGCAGACUAGAGUGUGGUAGGGGAGACUGGAAUUCCUGGUGUAGCGGUGAAAUGCGCAGAUAUCAGGAGGAACACCGAUGGCGAAGGCAGGUCUCUGGGCCAUAACUGACGCUGAGAAGCGAAAGCAUGGGGAGCGAACAGG
rnacentral:rRNA from 1 species